AAAAUUUUUCCCGAGUAGAAUGGCGGGGAAGCAGAAGAUGUUGUUUGACUAACCCGCCAUGAAAAACCAAGUUUUGGGGAAGGAUCCUGUUUGUUUACAAGCAAACUCUUCCCUAAACUCAAAUAAAGCAAUGGCUGCUUCAGGAGGGUUGCUUCCUGAGUUGCAGACUGCGCAUUCUAACGCGCACAUCAAUGUGUGUGAUUACAACCUUCUGCACAACUACUUCCUUCAUAUGUUUGAGAAGAGCGAGGAUAUACAACCUCAGAAGGAUAAAUGUAAGAAGUGCAAGAAGUCUAAGAAGAAUGGGAAAACUAAAGAAAAGUGUGUUGAGCCGUUGUCAAGUCUAUACGCUACUGUCCCAGAAAUUCAAAUCUCUAAAAAUGCUUCUUGGUUUGCAAUGUUUGCCAGUGUCCGGAAGACAUGUCUUGAGCAUCAGUCUCGAGCAGCCUCCAUCCUGCAGGCUGCAGCCUCGUCCUCCUGGGGGGAGGGAGAUACCGACCUCGAGGUUCUGGACACGGAGCAAGGGAAAGUAAAUCUUCCGAAAAUUGUCGGGAUAGGACUUAAAGCUGUUUUUGAUAUUAUCAGAGAUACUGAGACCCUUCAUCCUGGGGUUUGUCAGCGUGGUCUGCAGUCCCUGCUGGAUGUACUUCAGGGACUGUGCCCUGAGGACCUGAGAGAUGAACCAACUAGUCUAGUGGACACAAUGUUCCACCUUCUUCUAGACCUAUCCAGCAGAACUGGGGAACCUAUUGCUGUAAACGGAAAUCUUGAAGAUGGCGCGCAUAUACGCGCUCUGGCCUGUAGCUGCUUACUGGCGCUAUCAGUAGCUGGCGGGUCGUCUCAGCAUCUACUGCAGGCCACAUCAGCUAUACUCAUGUCUCCCAGAUCCCAUGCUGGAGAACUGAUCAGUCUUCCUGGUAUUCUAGCCGCAGUGCAGAGAUCUGUGUUUAGUGUUAUUAUUAGGAAAACUGAUCACCCUGACUACAUGUCCCAUGGAAUCCCCGUCUCCUCGCUGGUCAACUCAUUCCGUAUGAACCUAAAGGACGGUGCGUCCAAUCAGAACCCAACCUGUCUCUCUAUGGCGAGUGACGGACACUACUUGUAUCUCCACACCAACCUUGGACUAUUCAAGGUCGGGUCAGGGUUCUCCGGUACUGUUCGUGGACACGUUUACAAACAUAAGCCUGAUAUGUUUAUUGGAUCCGAGGGUUGGAUUGGGUUCUCCUCCAACACCCUCUUCUACAAGUCCAAUAACCUGCAAAACAUUGAGAUAAUCGUCCUGAAUAAGGAGACCCUGGAGAAGAUUAAAACAGUUUCAUCCUCGGAGAGAUUUCCUUCACCCCAUCUCAUGCUUAGUGAUGGAGAUCAUGUAGGGAUUGUUACUCCAAGUCGAGAUGACACCCUGAGCAUUAAAUUCCUCUCUCUGAACUCAAACCCUAUGAGUGUAGUGGCGGAUCUACCAAUAAAGCUGGCGAGAAAGUGUGUAGAGGCGUUCGGUUCAAGUUUAAUAGAAGAGAAUGGAGGAGAGAGAACACAGUUGGAUUUUGGUAUAGAUGAGGAGAUUGCUCAGGUUGGGAUAGGACGAGAGUUUGCUCUUCUUCUCACAACAGGAGGAAAACUGUACUAUACCGGUAAAUCUUCCUCCAUAGGACACAAACAUCCCUGUGCUCAGGGUAAGUGGAGUGAGGUUCAGUUUUCUAAAUCUGAAAGUUCCAGCGCCGUUAUUGUCAACUUUUCCAUAGGUCUGGACGGCAAUCAUGCUUUACUCAUUGGCGAUGAUGGAGCGGUGUAUUUCACUGGUACACCCAAACGUGGCGAGGAUGGGGAUCAAUCAUCCAAACCCCGCCGCCCGCCGAAGGCUAAGAAACCGUCUAAGAUAUCUCGGAUGGAUAAACAAGGAAUCCUUUGCACAGCUUGUAACUCUGGCACCUCUUGUAUUGUAACGAAGAAAGGAGAACUCUACGUGUUUGGAAAGGACUCCUCGUAUGCGGAUUUUAGCACCGGACGUGUUCUUGAUCUUGCAAACCAAACUGUUACAGCGGUUUCCAUAGGGAAGGCGCAUAUUGUGGUCCUCAGCUCCAAUGGAGACGUAUUCACAUUUGGUAUUAACAACAAGGGGCAGUGUGGGCGGGAGUUUCCUGUUGUUCCGCCUCGAGGGGAGGCAGGGCCGGAAGGAGAGGAUAUUAGUGAUCAUGAAGUAGAUCUAGAUGCGGAGUCGGUUAUCCCAGGUUAUGUAUUGUGCCUGCCUGGAAAGCACUGUUGGAAGCAUGAGCAAUGUAUGGUUUGCUCUGUGUGUGCUGAAUGUACUGGAUACGGAGCAAGUUGUGUUUCAGCAAACCGGCCUGAUAGGAGUCCAGGAACUCCUUGUGGAUGUGGAAGUGGGGAUAGUGGUUGCUCCGAAUGUGGUUGCUGUAGAACCUGUGCAGGAGAAGGUAUUAAUGAUCUUGAAGGGGUAGGUGGAGUUGAAGUUGCAGCAGGAGGAGAAGGGGCUGGAGGAGCUGUUCCUGUAGUUAAUCUUAUCAGGUUGAAUUUGAUGGCCAGCAAGCAAUCCAGGAAUCGGGAUUACAGAGACAAGUUCAUCAAACGCAGACUGGCUAAACUCGGUAAGGAGUCGCGGCGGAGUAAAAACGGAGUAAAAUAUGUGGAUCCGUUCUCUGCUGUAGCUCUACCAGAGAAAAAGGGGUCCGUGAAGGAGGUUCCAAAGGAGGAGCAUGAGAAGGAUCUGGGUAAAGUAAGCAGCCUGGGACCAGGGAAGGUUCUGCUCCCUGCUGACUGUAGGAUUACAGCAGUAUCCUGUGGUCUACAUCAUACACUGCUCUUGUCUAGCUCAGGACUAGUUUUAUCCUUUGGUUCCAACUCUUAUGGUCAGUUAGGGGUUGGAGAUCUAAUCCCUCGUGGAGCUCCGGUUCCAGUCACAGGGUUGGAUGAAGUGGUGACCCGGAUAUCCGGGGGCGGAUACCACUCAGUUGCUCUCACCUGCUCUGGGCGUGUCCUUACAUGGGGUAAUAACGCCAAAGGUCAACUAGGACGUUCUGCCCCGUCCCCGGACUCUAAACUCCCUCCUGUAGAGAUAGAACUAUGGUACUCCUUCCCUGGAAUUAUACCAGGACUAGGAGUUAACUAUGGUAAAGGAGUAACCUGGAUCUAUGCAUCAUCUGAUCAAACCUUGUUUAAGCUUGAUGAGAGUUUGAUAAACGCGCAGAAUCUACGAGGAGCGUCUAUAGUUGCGAACAAACAUCAGGUUCUUCUUCUUCCUACACAGAACAUUCAGCAGGCAUCAUUCAACAGCCUCUGUAUCUCAAGGACAGACGGAUUCUGUCGGAGCUUCUCUUCUAUAGAUCAGGUAGAGUGGACUGGUAAAGCUGUUGCUCUGGAUCCUCUGUACAAUACUAUCUGGAGCUACACCUCGGAAACAGGAACGAUCCAGUGCCACAACCCCAUAGCUACUGAUAUAGAUGUAGAAAGUAAACAGUCAAUUAUGUCUCCGGACCUAGCGCUGCCGGUAAAUCCAGGCUGCCUCGUAUCCAGGUCUCAAGCUGCACUGAACCUUCUAUCCUGUCUUGAUACUAUUACCGGAGCAGCUCCCUCCAACCUAACCCAACCUGAGGAGGAUUCAAUCAGACUUAACAAUAUGAAAUCUCUCACGAAGGAAGACUUUUCUGUUGUGAGUAGAUUUGAUUCUCAUGGCGGGGGCUGGGGGUACAGUGGACACAGUAUAGAAGCAGUCAGGUUUACUGUGGAUUCUGAUAUUCUGGUUGGUGGAUAUGGACUGUUUGGAGGAAGAGGAGAAUAUGUCGGCAAAAUAAAACUAUUCGACCUGGGUGUAGAAGGAGGAGAACAGGAAGGGGAUGGGGACCUCCUGGCGGAAUCAGAGGAGGUCACAUAUGAAUGUGGAGCCAGACAAAAAUACCCAAUUCUUUUUGAGGAACCAGUUCCAAUAUUGACUGGUAGAUGGUAUGUAGCGUGGGCCCGCGUAUCUGGUCCCAGCAGUGACUGUGGGUCCUCAGGGCAGGGUACAGUUACCACAGAGGACCAGGUCCAGUUCUCAUUCAAGUCCAGCAAGAAAUCCAAUAACGGGACUGAUGUGAACGCCGGUCAAAUUCCACAGAUUCUCUUUCGAAUUGUUACACAGGAAUCUACUGGAGUCGGGCGGAAGUAUUCCCCUCCUGAACCCAUCUAUAUCCUGUCAAGUAAAUUUGGUAAACCUGUUACAGUAGAGAGCUUCCAGGCUCUUCUAUCCCUUCUCCAUUGGGCCUGGUCAACCUUUAAGGUUACUGUAGGAGAGGUAGUGGACACAUCACCCAGUCAGGCAGCUCUGAUGGAUCUUCACAGGCUUGUGUUCAUAUGCCGGGCCUGUCUCCGUCUCCUGGUCAGUUACAUCGAGUAUAUUUAUCCUUCUCCUACACCCAUCUCAGAUGCAGGAGUUGGGAAACAAAUGACGGAGACUCAGAGGUUAGCAGAAUCUGUUUGUGAGGUUAGAACCCAAUUGGUUGCAAUCCUAAGUGAUCCUUUACCAAUCCUUGCUGGUUUGAGAAACGCCAGUCAACCAGUCAACAUGAGACACAGAGCGCUGGAGAUGUCGGAUCUUCUGCUGAAAGAUGCUCACAAAACAUUUGUCUCCUGUUUCCAUGCAUUCUACCCAACAGGACCCUUGAAGUGGAUUUGCCUUUGUAGCCUGUUAAGCCAGGUAGAUGGUAAAAACAGUGAUUUGCUUCUUGCUGCUGCUAUUGAUGCUCUCUGUAAUCCUAUGAUAAAACUUCGAAGUAUUUUCCCUAUUGGAGUAAAUGAACCUGAGAAGAAUCAAUAUAAAGAGAGUCCAGUAGAGAAUGUGUCAGUGACAGGGAGUGUUUUGUUUCUUGGCGAAAUGUCACCGACCUGCAAAUAUCCUCUACUCUCAGAGGUAAUGAACUAUCAAUCACAAAGUGAUGCUUCCAAGUUUGGAUCUUGGACUUUCUCUGAUGUUUUGAGUAAACUAUUGAAUAUAGUUUCCCAACCAGUUGAACAAGCACUUCAGACAAGCGUUCAUAUUCACAGCAAGGAACUGGUUAACAAAUCUUGUCGGCUCAUUGCCAGUGUUAUAUCUGAACUAUCCAACAUCAAGAACGGUUCAGAAUCUGGAAUGGCAAAUAUUGCAAACCGUUUAAGUUUACAAACCCCAAACCGGUUUGGAAAGGUGAACAGUUCCCGAACCUGGAACACUGGAAACGGAUCUCCGGAUGCAAUCUGCUUUUCUGUUGACCGAGCUGGAAUAUUGAUGGCUGGUGCUGCUAUCUAUGGUGGGGCAGGAUCAUUCGAUUAUGAAUUGGAGCUCCUACGAAACCUGACUAAUAGGGAAAGAGAGAAGGAUACAAAUCAAAGUCAGAGAUGGAUAUCUAUGGAGAUGUGUCAUGGAACUUAUACGGCUGAAGAGUGCUCCAACGACCUUUACAUGAUAAGGUUUGAUAAACCAGUCACAAUUCACCCUCACACAAAGUACGCUCUUAGACUUCGCAACCAUGGAGGCCAAACCUGUAAUGGAGAUGAAGGUCUAUCCUCGGUUAAAGGAUCAGACGGAACAACAUUCUCCUUUAGUUCCUGCUCCCUCAGCUUCAAUGGAACCAACCAUUCUCGUGGACAGAUACCCCAUCUGCUCUACUACUCAUCCACGGAGGAUCAAACUAUCAGUGCCACCACUGUCAACAUUGCUCAGUCAAUGUCCCAUAAGUCAGCUUUGUCGAUUACUGUAACUGUGGUGAAUACUGUAUCUCAGCUUUUAUCUCGAGCAACCAAGAAUACUGAGGGACGAGGAUAUGAAAUUCUUAACUCUGCUCCUAUCAUAACAACUCUGCUUCCUCAUGUUAUGGCCAGUGUUUCAGGAUUGGCAUGUAGUGACCCAGUUGCAGCUGUGCAGGUCAUCUCACUGAUUCAGGAUCUUCUGCCCAAAGUUGCUGAGCUUAAUAACCAGAUGUUUAAAAACAAUGUAGAGGUCCUUGGAGCAGACAUUGAACUCCCGGCUCCUCAUUAUUCUUGGGUAGAAAGUGAGCAUCCAUACAAACCUGCUGGAAUAUCUAAUUAUAGAGUUGUAUUUCCUCCUUCUGUUAAGUGGAUGGCCAUUGAGUUUGAUUCAGCGUGCUGUACAGCACAAGCAGAAGAUUCCCUACAGAUGUACAUCAGAAACCCGUCCUCUCAAAGGCCCAAGAAUUUAUCUAGUCCGUUGGUUACAAGUCAGUCUGCCAGCUUACUUAAAUCACAGAGAUAUAGUCCAGUUCUCACCAAGUUUAGUGGAAACAAAGGUUGGCCUUCUCAGAGUGUUGUUUUGCCUGGAAAUGAGGUUCUAUUCUCGCUGGAGACUGCUAGUGAUUAUGUUAAAGGAGAAAACAAAGUUUCUAACUAUGGGUUCAAAUGUUUGGUGGCUGGAUAUGAGGUUCAAGAUGGAACACAGGAAGGAUUAAAAAGCAUUGAACAUGAGUUGGCAUACUUGGGUGGACUAUGUGCUUCUAGUCUCAUGAACAAGAGUAUCAAACUUCCCUUAAAUCUGUCUAAGGAAGCUACUGAGGACCAAAGUUCGAUUGAGGCUUCUGCUCAAGAGCUUUAUGAAUCCUAUCCAACCCUGCUUAUGAAGGGUUUUGCUAUUGAUGAGCUUCCUACAAUACACCAGGCUCUAUCUGGUAAUCUACCCCUGAAUUGUCAAUCUAAUGAGAGAUUGUUCUUGAAAGAUUUUGUGUUUGGUGCUCCUGGCACUGCUGGAGGACGUCUUGCAUCAUGGCUUCAGCCUGAGUCAUACAUUUCUGUAGACAACUGUGGCGUUAUGUUCAAGCCAGAUGAAAUGAGAUGCUCCUGGCCAACCAUUAUAACUAUUCUUACAAGAGAUCAGUAUGGCUCCAUCGCAAAUGUGCCAAAUAUGAAAGUUGAAGUAAAAGCUAUACCUAUUGAUGAAAUGAAUUCCAGUUCAGGAACAAUCAAGUUGAACAAAGCCCUGCAGCCUGAUAGCAUGACAUUUGGGGGACACUCUCCUCCAAAUCUGGACACCAAAUAUGAAGUUACAGUCAAGGAAAAAAUGUUUUACCAUGCAAUCACUGUUAAUAAAGCUUAUGAUAAUUAUUCCUUUGAAGAACUGCGCUGGGCUUCCCCUAAGCUUCAGCGUCAAUCAGAGAAUAUGCUUGUGAGACCAAAUGGAGAUGGAACUUACAGUGCAAACUGGACCCCAGGAAAUGUUGGAUGGUACAAACUGCAUGUCUCCUUGGAUGGUUGUGAUCUGCCAGUGUCCCACAAGGUUGAAAUACUGGAACCACCUCAAGGAAAGCUCCCCCCAACUCAGCCCUACAAGAGGACCUGUCCCUCUGCUGAGAUCAACAGAUUGAGACAAUUUAUUGCAAAACCUAGUGCUGGUCUGAGAAUUAGACUGCAUCCAACACUUCAGUCUGAGCAGAUUGGAAUAGUUCCAGUUGAUGGCACUGUUUCAAUCAUGGAUGAACUAUCAAACAGUGAUGGAAUCUGGGUAAGGCUAAGUGUAGAAUCUCUAAAUGACUAUUGUUCUCAACCCUAUGCAGAAGGAUGGUGCUUGCAGUACAACCAGCACUAUGAGAAACAGUUAAUGAAACCAAUUGUAGAACCAAUUACAAAACCAAAACCAACAAUUCCCAAGAGAAAGCCUGAAAGCCACAGUGGGAGCACCUUCACAUCAGAUAUUGAAACCACUUCAAAGAAUUCUGCUUUGAAAAGAGGACCAGGCAUGUAUACUGUGGUAAAAUGUGGUUCCUCUGGUCACAACAUUAGAUGUGCCCCUAGCUUAAGUGCAGCCCCUGUAGGUAUUCUAUCCCUGGGUGAUAACAUCAUAGUCAAUGAAGUAAGAGAGCAUCCAUCAGGAGAAUGUUGGGUUAAAUUUGAUAAAGAUUCUGCUGAGAAAUAUUGUUUUGGUAUGAUUGAUGGUGAUGUGUGGAGUCUGGCUGUCACUGCUACAGAUACCCACUACCUAGAGUCUGAGGCUGAAAUACAAGAACAGAGAUGGCCUAAUGUGAUUGGAAAUUUUGAAUCGAAAGCAAGUUCUUUUCUCUCACCUUUUGGAAUAGGGGAGGAGAUGAAAAAUGUUUGGGGACCAGGACUACCUUUACUUCCAUCCUCAUCUAAUUCUUCAUUGUCAACACCAUUCUCCCCCUUGGACAGUUCAAUGUCAGGUUCAUUAAGUAAAACAUUUGAAUUAAGUCCAUCAACUCCUAUUUACAGAAGAAAAAGUUUGCCUAAACCAGGUAGACAGGUCACACCACCAAGGCAACCAUUCAACCAAGCUCAAGGAGGUGGGAAGGGUGCUGGUCCAGGUACUCCACCCAGAAGUAGAUCCGGAACUUUAGAAAGAAAGUCUUUCUUUCAAAAAUGGUUCAAAUCUGAUGAGUCUGGACAGAAAUCUGGAGCAAUGGGCAGCCCCUCACAUAGCAGAAGAUCAUCUCCAGCUGAAGUUCAAAGGAAAGCAUUUCCUGUUAACAAGGAUAUCCCACCAGAGCUUCAGGGAGUUUCUGUUAAAGAAUUAGUUAAAGUAAUUGGGGCAAGUAGAGCUAAUGGAAAUGGUGUCACUCCACCAAGCACUCCUGGAACACCAAGGAAAUCAAGAUCUGCAAGUCCUGCUGGCCCAGUCAGCCAAUUAGCAGUGAGUAGAUCAAGGAGUUCUAGUCCUAUCUCAAUUGGCCAUGGAAAGAGUUUAGGUGGCCAGGCUAUGUACUCUCCAAGGAGCCUAACUGCCAGUUUUGGUAUUCUGGAUGAUAUUGAAGUUCCAAGCUUUCAUCGGCAAAAUUCUUCUCCUUCAGACACAUCUGAUAUGAUUUCUAGUCUCACAAGAGAUAUGUCUUGUCUAUCAGCUUCCCCAGGAGUUGGUAAAGAGUUAUCUGGUUUUACCAAGAAGGAUGGAUCUCUGUCACCAGUAUCAUUUAGAUCAGAGAUCAUACAGUCUGAAGGAGCAAGUAGUCGGAAUGUAAGUCCCAUUAGAGCUGAAAUGAAAGAUUCUCAAAUCUUUCAACUUUCAACUUCUUCAUUAGACAUCAAGGAAAAAGAUGUUGUUAGGAGUAACAAUCCUCCUGUUAAAAUCAAAGAAAACUCGCCAUCUGUUAAAGAAAAGUCAAUUCAAUCUAAGCCAGACCCAUUUCCCAAACCAAGGCUGAGUUACACUAACCUCUCAGGCCCUGUUACUGAAGCCAUGAGCCCCUCAGUUGCUGAGAGUAUAAGAGCUGUUUUUGCCGCAUUUAUUUGGCAUUCUGGGAUUGUUCAAGAUACAAUGGCAUGUGCUUCUUUUAUUAAAUUCAACCCAGGAUAUUUAAAGGAAGGGACUACAGAGCAAACUCCUUUUGCAACAACAGAGGAGAAAGAUGAAGUCAUUGUUCAAAAGGUAAAACAGCGCCAUUCUGUUGAAGUUAUAUCAGCCUCUUAUCUCAAUGCUGGAACCAGUGCUGCAGCAGAUAAAUAUCCAUUUAAUGCAAAUAGGAACAUGAACAUUCCUCAAAAUGUUAGUGACUUGCCAGGACUAGGUGGAGCUAUUCCAAAGGUUGAAAAUCCUAAAGUCAGCAAUGAAGUUGUUCCAGGCCUUCCUCAAACCCUUGGACAGCUUGUAUUGUUGUGGGAAGGUGUUGUGUUAACAUGUCUAGAUACAAUAAUAUCUCAAGGCCCUGUCAAUCAAUGGGGCAAGGAUAAGUUUAACAAAGGUCCAGAUAAAGGUUUAAAAAAUAAUAGAGAUGCUGGUGCAGUUUUCUCCAGCAAUCAAAUGAACAACCCAUUUAAUUGUGAAAAGUCCAAAGAUGACAAGAUCCAAGGCUUGAUACAGUUUGCUGGAAUUUGUGAUAAUUGGCUCUGUGAUAUCUGUGGAGGAUAUUUUGAACCACCAGUUACAUACCACAUGAAGAUGGCACAUCCAGGCUGUGGAAACCAUGCUGGAGGCAAAGGAUACAACUCUAGUGGUCAGUAUUGUGGAGGUUGGGCAGGGAACUGUGGAGAUGGAGGAGGAGGUGGCUCAUCAUGGUAUCUUAUCUGUGAAAACUGUAGGGACAAACACCGAAAGAAAUUUAAUGGUAAGAAUGAACUGAACAUGAAACAUUUUUCACAUGGGGACAAGAAAGAUAAGGAGAAGAUAGAUCUUGUUCCUUUGCCAUCUAUGCUUGCCUCAUUUUCCUAUGCUACAGCUAGCUCUCCUGUGGGACCAUUAGAUUGUCACAUUGUCAUGAAAGCCAAUUCUAGUUUCCUUCUUGACCUAGCCAGCAGUACUGAGGAAGAUCACUCUAGAAGAAUUGCUCAGUCUGAGCUUGAAACUGUUACAGAGCUAAUUCCUGGAGAUCCUGGAAUCUUCCCAUACAUUCCCUUUAAUUGUCUAGAUGUCCUGGGAGUUCAGGACUCUGAACUAAAAGAAUUGAACAAUGAACUUCUGCUACAAGACAACCUCCAGACCUCACUAGACUGGGAGUACCCUACUAGGGCAUCUUCAAGUCGUAAUAGUGAUGGAGAUAGAUCUAGGGAGGUUUCAAAGGAUCCUGAGUCUAAAGAGGGUUCUGUUUUGGUUGAGAAAAUAUCAGAAAUUGAUCCACCAGCAGAGUUCCAAUCUGACGAAUCAACACAAUCAGACAGAACUGUUUUAAGAAGGAGCAAGUUUCAUAGGUCAUAUUCUAUUGGAAGUCCCAAAAGCAAGGAGUGGAGCCCUUCUUCAAGUAGGAAAAGAAAUUCAAGCUAUGAAGACUAUGCAAAUAGUAAGACUUCUAGCUCAUCUGAGUUUCUUGCCCAUACUUCUCCAGCAUGGAAAAGAUUGUUUGAACAGGGUUCAAUAUCUACAAAACUCCUAGAUUCCCCUGUUAUAUCUUUCAUAAUGCGAUGGAAUGAUCUUGAGGCAUUACAGAAUGCAAUGCAACUUACUUUAAGAAAAGCUGUGUGUAGAGCCUAUGCAAUGCAAGCCUUUAACUGGUUGUUAAGGUCAGUAAGUCAACCUGUUUGUCUCCAUGAUUUACUUUGGUGUCUCAUCUCUUCCUUACAAGAUUCUAAAUCUCUUCCUAAGAAGAAAGAUGAAGAGAAAGGAGAUGACAUUAUAUUAGGGGGUGUUAAGGAGAAGGACAUUGGCUUUGAACAUCCUAUGUCAGAUCUUUGCCUAGUUGGUGGAGCUGUCAAAUCACUCCCAUCUACAUUCCAUAUUCUUCUGCAAACUAUUUCUGAUUUGAUGCUUUUACUUCCUCUAGGAUCAGCAUUACAGCAAGCAGCAGUAACAUGUUUCUCCAUUCAGUUUUGGCCAUCUGAUCAUUCAUUCCUUCACCAAUCUCAAGUUUUUUCUACAAUCAGCAAGAUACUGUCACGAGGUGAAACAGAUUUAGAACUUGAUCAUUCUCCCAAAGGAGGCUUUAGUGGAGCGGGAGUGGAGCAGUGGAAAGAUCUGACUAAUGUAGCAGAAUUGUCAGUGUCUUCAAGACCAGCUAUGAUUGCUAGUCUCACAGACGGAAGCACUGAAACAUUUUGGGAAAGUGGGGAUGAAGAUAGAAACAAGACCAAGUAUGUUUCCUUGAAAUGUGGUGUGGCAAAUCAACCCAGAUCUGUCUCUGUUCAUGUUGAUAAUGGAAGAGAUAUAGGAAAUAAGGUUUCAUCCUUAACUUUUAAAUCUGGGAGAUCUAUUGAUGAUCUGACUGUUUUAAGGAAUGUUGACAUAGAGAGUAGAUUUGCUGGUUGGGUAACAUGUUUCUUAACAGACAAUGAUAAUCAGUAUCUUAAAAUAGAGAUUAAGGGGCCAGACAAUACUGUUAGACUGAGACAAGUCAAGUUAAUUGGUAAAUCAAAUGACUUCCCCUCUCCGUUCCUACCAAACCGAGCAGAUUCACAGCGCAUCCAGCAAUCCAACUGUGAAGUUGAAACUCUGCGUGUUUUUAGACUUAUUACAAGUCAGGUCUUUGGCAAACUUCUAGAACCAGAAUCAGAUAUUGAUGCUCCUGGUUUAGAUCAGUGGGAUGGCACAGACCUAAAGGAGCAUGUGGUUGGAAUACUUUUUUCAAGAUCUAAACUGAGCCAUCUGCAAAAGCAAGUGUGCUCACACAUUGUAUCUGCUAUAUCUAAAGAGGCUGGAUGUCUCAGGGAUGACUGGGAACUGUCAUUGUGUUCAGGGAUUGGCAGUGUGGACCAAGAACAAGUUCUCAAACUCUCUGAUACUUACUGCUUUGAGAUGUUAUCUAUGGUGCUUGCUCUAAGCGGAAGCAAAGUUGGACGUAUAUACCUGUCCCAACAGUAUUCUCUACUCAAGGAUAUGUUAAGUUUUCUCCACACUGGGUCAGCUAGGGUUCAAAGAGCUGUUGUUUCAGUUCUCAGGCGAGUUCUUCCUCUUGUUCCUCCAGUUAGAUUUGCUAAUAUUCUGAACCUUACUAGCCUUCCUCCAAGGGAUUUCAGCAUUUUAAAUGUUGCUUCUACAAGAGGAAAUGAUAACAAGGAGCUGCCUAAGUUUGAUCCCCACAAGGUUGGGAUCCUGGAUAUUUUCCUUGGUUGUAUUGCCAAGGCACUCAGCAUCCAGGUCAAGAAGAAGAGCAAUUCAGGACGAAGUGUAUCAACGGUCUCUCUUGGUACUUGUAUCCAUCCCCGAGAUAAUACUGGAGCUAGAUGGUGGCUCCGAGGAUCCAUAUCCAAGAAAAUUGCAGAGGAGAUAAUAUUGUUACUAAAAGAGAUGACUCAGGGAAAGUUCUCAGAAGACUGGACCAACGUGAGUAAGUCUGGAAUAGCCGAGGCUGUAUUGAACUUGACGAGGUUAGAGGCUGAGCAGAGGCAUCCUGAGGACGGGUUGAGGUGUGGAACCUUGUGGUUAGCAACAGCAGCCCUAACUGUUCUGCAUAGGGAUCACGUUGAUGGAUUGUCUAGCGGGGAUUGGGGAGGGGGUGGUGCUGGCCAGGACCGCCCUAUCUGCGACAACCACGACGACGGAGAAACAUUGGCAAUUAUACUUUGCGACUCCUGUGGAAACCUGUGUGCGGACUGUGACAGGUUUCUACAUUUGAACCGGAAAACUCGUCUUCACUCCCGCCAGGUGUUCAAGGAGGAGGAGGAGGCAAUCAAGGUGAACCUGCAUGAAGGAUGUGGUCGAACUAAAUUAUUCUGGUUGACAGCAGCAGCAGAUGCUGCAACUCUGAAGGGUAUGAUAGAGUUCCGCGAAGAGCCUACGAGGAAGGGAUCUAGCUUAGUUGAAGCUGUGUGCAGGUACUGUGGAGGGUCUAGUUGUGCUGCACUGCCUGUACAUGAAGGAGUAUGUACAGAAGAAGAAUGCCAGGAGAAUGCUAAACUAGCGUGUACUAAACUGAACCCCUGCGGUCACCCGUGUGGCGGACUUGCUGGAGAAGCUGUUUGUUUACCUUGUCUACGUGGAUGUGAUAAAAAUGAGAUCUUAAAACAGGAUGGGGAUGAUAUGUGUAUGAUAUGUUUCACUGAGGCCCUGCAUCCUAUUCCUAGCAUCCUGCUUCACUGUGGACAUGUCUUCCAUUACAAUUGUGUCAGAGGUGUGUUGAAAGCAAGAUGGCCGGGCCCUAGAAUAACUUUUGGGUUUACACAAUGUCCAAUUUGUAAGGUUAAUAUGAACCAUCCUGCCCUGGAGGAUCUAAUAAACCCGAUCAGUGCACUUUAUCAAGAUGUCAAGAAGAAAGCCCUGAUGAGAUUAGAAUAUGAAGGAUUAAGUAGAUGUGAAGCUGUUGUAUCCCCGGGAGCAAGAUGGUUCAAUAAUCCUACAGGAUUUUCAAUGGAUCGGUAUGCUUACUACGUCUGCUUUAAGUGUGGAAAAUCUUAUUUCGGAGGAGAAGCAAGAUGUGACCAGGAGGUGGGCGGGGGGGAUAUGUUUAACCCUGAGGAGCUGGUUUGUGGAGGCUGUAGUGAUGUGUCCCAGGCCCAGAUGUGCCCGAAGCAUGGAACCGAUUACCUGGAGUAUAAAUGUAGAUACUGCUGCUCAGUAGCUGUCUUCUUCUGCUUUGGAACUACCCAUUUCUGUAACCCUUGUCAUGAUGAUUUCCAACGAGUAGCGAAUAUUCCUAAAGGAGAACUACCACAAUGUCCUGUUGGACCGAAGGCUCUGAGUAUAGAAGGUGAUGAAUGCCCCCUGAACCUCAUGCAUCCCCCUACAGGAGAAGAAUUUGCUCUAGGAUGCGGAAUAUGCAGGAACGCGCACACUUUCUAAGAGAUCUAGCUCUAGACCCGGAUUGAUGAUCAGAUCUGGAUCAGAUCUUGAAUAUCAUCCUAACUGAAGAUUCAGUUUAUCUUAUUAUACAGGUUUUACUGUAUGAAAAUUUAUAAUUUAGUGCUUGUUAAUUAUCGCUGUGAUUGUUUACUGUAUUCUAUUAUUUUUAAUUAAGUUAAAAUGUCAAGCGUUCAUGUUUUUCCUAAACUAUUCCGUACGCAGCUAGUACGCAGUUCACUAGGAAACUGAUUUUAGCUUUGAUCAAAAAUAUCAAUUUCCUUUUGUUUUUGUUAAGAUUAGAUGAAUCAUAACUUAUUUUGUUUGCAUUUAAGAAGCAUAAAUUUAUAUAAUACAUUCCUGUUUUGUACACUGUACAGUGUACAUACAGUGCACACUUGUACAUACAUACAGUACAGAAAAUUUAAACCCCGCCAAUUAGAAAACAUGAUGCGUUUAGUUGCUUUUGAUUGAUAUAUCUUGAUUUGUUAUUGGCUCUCGCUUUAUUAAAUGUAGUGUACUGUGUACACCGUAAAAAGUACACUGUUGUACACUAUUAUUUGUGACGUGUACACUGUAACCUUGUUUCAG